UACGUAGGGUGCAAGCGUUAAUCGGAAUUACUGGGCGUAAAGGGUGCGUAGGUGGGCAGGUAAGUCAGUGGUGAAAUCUCCGAGCUUAACUCGGAAACUGCCAUUGAUACUAUCAGUCUUGAAUAUUGUGGAGGUCAGCGGAAUAUGUCAUGUAGCGGUGAAAUGCUUAGAUAUGACAUAGAACACCAAUUGCGAAGGCAGCUGGCUACGCAUAUAUUGACACUGAGGCACGAAAGCGUGGGGAUCAAACAGG
rnacentral:rRNA from 1 species